GGACCAGCUGCCCCUUGGGGUCUGACAAGUCCAGAAGGUUCAGAGCCUGGAGCCAAAAGGACAACCUCCUGAGGCACAGAGCCGCGGAAGGGAAGAGCCUCAAAUCCUGUCCCUUUUUCCUACUAUUGCCUGCCCUCCAGCCAGGGAAACUGAGGCUUGCCUCCAUCAGCGGAAGCAGAGGACUGGCUGACGCGGGUGAUGGGCAGAUAAACAGAUAAACCUGAGCCUGGCUUGAGACUUGUAACGGAGCUGGUGAUAGGUGGACAUCAAUCCUGGGUGUAGGCCCUGGCUCUGCCACAAGCAUGCUGUGUGAUUCCAAACAAGCCCUAACCACUCUCUGGGCCUCAGUUUCUCCCUUGAUCUAGAGAGAGAGUGGGGUGUGCAGGAUGAUUUCUAACAGUCUGGGAGUCUGUGUUCUCUGCACCUGUGUCAGCCCUUUAGUCUGCAAAGUGGGCCAACAGUGAAGUCCAUCACGCAAUGGUGGGAGGAGCCUAGAGGAGGCGGGGCCCUGUGUUAGGCUUGAUAUUGCACAGGUGGAGAGGAAGCCAGGGUGAGCAUGGGUUCCGGUCCGUCCUGGCCCUUCUAAGAGCCUUACCAGCUGUCCCUGUCUGUUCCUGGCAUAGCCUGAACUGGACCCCCAUCCCAAACUGAAGGGCAAGUAAAGUCGGCACAGGCUAUCCGAGUGGACAAGGGCUUUGGGCAGCACCUGCAAUGAAGCACCCAGUGUACAAAUGAAGGUUAAGGCCUGGAGCAGUGAAGGGUCUUGACUGACGUCACCGAGCAACUUAGAGCAGAACCCCUGUAUGCGGUCCUCUGGUCCAGUGUUCUUUGACUCCGCCCCUACCCUGUACUUCUGGUGGCUUCUUUAUGAUUCCAAAGCCCUUUGACAUAAAAACCUUCACCCUGUUGCCUCAGAGCAGGCUGGCAUGUCUUCCCUGCCCUGGCAAUGCCAGAGCCCUGCCCUUUGGUGGCAGGACUUGUAAUUCGGUUUUGUUUAAAGCGCAUGCCUGUUUCAUGUUUAUGCCCAAUUUUUCAUACAGGUACCAACCCCAGAGCUCCCAAACCCAUGCCCAACAGGCCACCAGCCCCCUGGGGUAGAAGGGUCUCUAAGGAUGGGAUGUACGAAAAUGAGCUCAGACUGUAGUGGGCGGGGCCACGACAACGAUGACUCAACCAGAGUGGCAGUUUAUAGAGUGCUUUCACAUCCUGCUGAGCUCACAAAAGCCCUGGAAUCCAGGCUGAGUGCAGCAUCUUCCCCAUUUGACAGGUAAAGAAACAGAGGUUUAGGGAGGAAUGAUGUGUCCAAAGUCAUAGACCCAGCUGGUGGCAAAGCUGUGCAUCUGAGCCUGGUUUUCUGCAUGCCCCACCCAGGGUUCACUGCCUGGUGUAGAGCACCGAGCAGGUGCUAUGUAAAUAUUUGAGUGAGUGAAUGAGGAUCAAGUAAGAGCCAGGCUGGAGCUUAGCCACUGUGCAACAGGAGUAGCUCAUCCAGCCUUGGGCGACGAGACACAGGAAGGCUUUUUGGAUUGGGUAGAGGGAUGCCUUGACUGAAGGUUUGGUAGGAGUUACCCAGUCAAGGCAGAGAGAACAGCCUGAGUAGAGGCUGAGCCAGUGAAAGUUCUGUAUGAUGGGGCUCAUCAUGGAGAGUGGAGGUGGCAGGCAGCAAGGAAUGAAGCCGGAGCUUUCAGUGGGAUCUAUCCUAGCUAGGGACAGGGGUUUGACCAUUAAGACUUCUCAAGAUUCCUCCAGGUUCAAAGAUCUGAGGGUUUGCUGAGCUCUGUGGUCUACCGUGUCUGGUGGCCUUGGUUGACCAGCUGUUCUAGACUCCAUUGAGAGGCUAAGUCACUGCUUUAUUGGGACAAAUUGAAAUCCUAGUGAAUGAAUGAGUGGGGAUUCCUAGCAGACUGGGGGUGGGUACUAAGGAACCAUCUGCAUUGUGUGGUCCUAAACCUGUCUUGGCAGAAACCAUAGCAGAUGGGGCCAUGUUCCCUCGGAAAUCUUGGGAGAAGGCUGGAAAGACAGAGUAGGGGCCAAGAAAACAGGCUUUUCAUGGACUUUCCUGUAGGAGUGAUAUGGAAGUAUGUAGGGCCUUUUGUCUCCAACAGGUUAGCAGCCCCCUCUGGGCAGUGGUAGGGAGGAGCACCUAGGGCCUGCUGGUCAACCCCGUGUGCCUGUGCCUGGUGUGAUGUCUGGACUCCCUAGUCCCCAGGGCUUCAGCUCUGGCCACAGCUCUGAGCAGGGUGUUAGAGAAGCUGGCUCAGCACUGCUCCCAAAGCUGGGCCUCAGGCAAUAGGUUCUCAAUGGGCCAGUCUUUCAGCAGUCCUUUAUGAUCACUUCCACAUGGCAGGCUGAGAGAGAGAGAGAGAGAGAGAGAGAGAGAGAGAGAGAGAGAGAGAGAGAGAGGGAGGCACAAGUGAGUGACAUGGAAGAGCCUGCAUGGGCAUAAAUAAUUCUGAAA